rnacentral:rRNA from 1 species
CAGCAGCCGCGGUAAGACGAACCGUGCGAACGUUAUUCGGAAUCACUGGGCUUAAAGCGCGUGUAGGCGGGAGGGCACGUCCGUCGCUGAAAUCCCCCGGCUCAACCGGGGAACGGGCGCGGAUACGACUCUUCUGGAGGAACGUAGGGGGACCUGGAACUUCCGGUGGAGCGGUGAAAUGCGUUGAGAUCGGAAGGAACGCCCGUGGCGAAAGCGAGGUCCUGGACGUUUACUGACGCUGAGACGCGAAAGCCAGGGGAGCGAACGGGAUUAGAUACCCCUGUAGUCCCUGUCUCUUAUA